CUCGGUCGCGGCCGGGCUUUGGUCCCGCCUUUCCCGCUCCAGCAAAACGGCGCCGCGGGCCGGCCCCCUCGCUGGGCUGACAAGCGCAAAACGGCAGCGCUCGGCCCAGGUGAGUUGUGCUUUGCUCGGCCAGGCGCUUCCCGGGAAUUGCAGCAAGCGGAGAGAGAAAGAGAGGGAGAAAGAGAGAGAGCAGAGCAGGCCCGGCCUUGCGGCCUGAGCAGGCUUUGUUUCCCGCCGCUUGGGUGGCUUCGCUGGGACUGGCUGCUGCUCCCUCCUGAGGCUGCGGAGGACUUGAGAAAAGUUGAGUCAGACCUCAAGCCUGUUUUGUUACCGGAUUUCUGAUGUCUUUGGAAAUUGCCACAAACACAGUGAGAAGAUGAGCAGCUACUAUUCAGAAAAACUGAAGUUUGAAACAUUUUCUGACAAAACUAGAGAGAGAGAAAUUGCAUUGAUUAAGAUAAAAAGACAUGAAGGUAUGAUGCAGUUAAACAGAUGAGUAAUUGCUCAGAGUAAUUGGGUGGGGAGAGAAGAUACCUGAAUUUGAAAAUCUUUUGGAUAUGGGUAAAUAGUGAUACUAUAUAAAACUUAUUACUGGCAGUGAAAUCUUGACAAAGUGGUUUCUGGUCAAGUUAUGGCUGUUUUGUUUGCUCAAAAAUGAUGUAAUAUUAUUUCAGGGCUAUUAAAAUGUAGCUGCCACUACCCUGAUAAUUUUAUAUUUAUAUAUUGAGAUUGUGUCAUAUUCUUUUCCUAGUAUCAUAGUAUCUUAGAUUGUCAUAUUGUGUCAUUUACU
rnacentral:lncRNA from 1 species